GACGAACGCUGGCGGCGUGCUUAACACAUGCAAGUCGAACGGAAAGGCCCUGCUUGCAGGGUACUCGAGUGGCGAACGGGUGAGUAACACGUGGGUGAUCUGCCCUGCACUUCGGGAUAAGCCUGGGAAACUGGGUCUAAUACCGGAUAGGAGCCAUUUUUAGUGUGAUGGUUGGAAAGUUUUUUCGGUGUAGGAUGAGCUCGCGGCCUAUCAGCUUGUUGGUGGGGUAAUGGCCUACCAAGGCGGCGACGGGUAGCCGGCCUGAGAGGGUGGACGGCCACAUUGGGACUGGGAUACGGUCCAGACUCCUACGGGAGGCAGCAGUGGGGAAUAUUGCACAAUGGGCGCAAGCCUGAUGCAGCGACGCCGCGUGGGGGAGGACGGCCUUCGGGUUGUAAACUCCUUUCGCUAGGGACGAAGCUUUUUGUGACGGUACCUAGAUAAGAAGCACCGGCUAACUACGUG
rnacentral:rRNA from 1 species